rnacentral:rRNA from 1 species
AUCGCACCUUAUGGAAACAUAGGGGUCAGUUCGGCUGGAUCGGUGACAGGUGCUGCAUGGCUGUCGUCAGCUCGUGUCGUGAGAUGUUGGGUUAAGUCCCGCAACGAGCGCAACCCUUGUCCUUAGUUGCCAGCAUUCAGUUGGGCACUCUAAGGAGACUGCCGGUGUCAAACCGGAGGAAGGUGGGGAUGACGUCAAGUCCUCAUGGCCCUUAUGUCCAGGGCUACGCACGUGCUACAAUGGCCGGUACAAAGGGGCGCAAGACCGCGAGGUGGAGCAAAUCCCAAAAAACCGGUCUCAGUUCGGAUUGGAGUCUGCAACUCGACUCCAUGAAGUUGGAAUCGCUAGUAAUCGCGUAUCAGCAUGACGCGGUGAAUACGUUCCCGGGCCUU